rnacentral:rRNA from 1 species
GUAGGUGGCAAGCGUUGUCCGGAAUUAUUGGGCGUAAAGCGCGCGCAGGCGGUUUCUUUAAGUCUGAUGUGAAACGCCCACGGCUCAACCGUGGAGGGUCAUUGGAAACUGGAGAACUUGAGUACAGAAGAGGAAAGCGGAAUUCCACGUGUAGCGGUGAAAUGCGUAGAGAUGUGGAGGAACACCAGUGGCGAAGGCGGCUUUUCUGGUCUGUAACUGACGCUGAGGCGCGAAAGCGUGGGGAGCAAACAGGGAUUAGAUACCCUGGUAGUCCACGCCGUAAACGAUGAGUGCUAAGUGUUAGGGGGUUUCCGCCCCCUUAGUGCUGCAGCUAACGCAUUAAGCACUCCGCCUGGGGAGUACGGCCGCAAGGCUG